rnacentral:lncRNA from 1 species
GUUGUUUGAGUAUUUGUCCCAUCAUUGACAGCAGUCAUGGAUGGAGGGGAUAUGGUUCCAUCAGCAAAUCCCAUCGAAUCCUAGCCAACAAGGAGCGCACUGCAUUGAGCACGCCAUGAUGGAUAGUUCAUGACUAUGAGUUUCAAUAGUAGUUGGGCUACAGUAUUUAUGGAGACAAAAAUAUCAUUCGGAUUUACAGAGA